rnacentral:lncRNA from 1 species
GCCGUUCUAAACAUCUGGAUUUCUUCCCAGAUUUCUUCAUCCAAAAGAGUGGCUGCAGUAUGGUGCUGUAAAGGAGCUAUCAGACAGUGGCCUUCAAUCAAGGACUGGUUGCUUGGCAGAGACAAGUAUACCUUGGUACCAAUUGCAAUAAUAAGAUGUUUAGAAAGUUCACUGCUAUCAAAACAGUAAGGACACUUUUCCAUGCGUGCAGCAAGCUGCUGGUGCUCACGUAUUGCUUUUCUUCUUUGUACUUCUUCC